rnacentral:rRNA from 1 species
AGUGAACGCUGGCGGUAGGCCUAACACAUGCAAGUCGAACGGCAGCACAGUAAGAGCUUGCUCUUACGGGUGGCGAGUGGCGGACGGGUGAGGAAUACAUCGGAAUCUACUUUUUCGUGGGGGAUAACGUAGGGAAACUUACGCUAAUACCGCAUACGACCUACGGGUGAAAGCAGGGGAUCUUCGGACCUUGCGCGAUUGAAUGAGCCGAUGUCGGAUUAGCUAGUUGGCGGGGUAAAGGCCCACCAAGGCGACGAUCCGUAGCUGGUCUGAGAGGAUGAUCGGCCACCUUGGAACUGAGACACGGUCCAGACUCCUACGGGAGGCAGCAGUGUGGAAUAUUGGACAAUGGGCGCAAGCCUGAUCCAGCCAUACCGCGUGGGUGAAGAAGGCCUUCGGGUUGUAAAGCCCUUUUGUUGGGAAAGAAAAGCAGCAGGUUAAUACCCCGCUGUUCUGACGGUACCCAAAGAAUAAGCACCGGCUAACUUCGUG